CUGGUGGCUCAGUCAGUAAAGAAUCUGCCUGCAAUGCAGGAGACCCAGGUUCAAUCCCUGGGCCAGA
rnacentral:tRNA from 1 species